GACUGACAACAUGUCUGUUAAGUCAAGAGUGACGGACGCUGAAGGAGGGAGAAAGUCACUAUCUUACAGUGACGGACACGGGUGGUGGUGUGAAUGCCAGUGUGAAAUCUCU